rnacentral:lncRNA from 1 species
UUUUUUUUUUUUUUUUUGCUAUUUCUAGGGCUGCUCCCACGGCAUAUGGAGGUUCCCAGGCUAGGGGUCUAAUCGGAGCUGUAGCCACCGGCCUACUCCAGAGCCACAGCAACGCGGGAUCCGAGCCGCACCUGCGACCUGUACCACAGCUCAUGGCCACGCCAGAUCCUUAACCCAGGGAGCAAGGCCAGGGACCAAACCCGCAACCUCAUGGUUCCUAGUCAGAUUCGUUAACCACUGCGCCACGACGGGAACUCCAGAAGCUAUUAUUUAAAUACAAUUUAGAAAAUAGAUAUAUCUUUUUUUAAACAUCAUUCUCCCAUUUCUACUUUGAAAAUGUAGGGAUUUAAUGCCAGGCAGUAAUGGAUUUAAAUAUAAGUGUAGAGGGGUCACUGUGACACAACUUCUUCCUAAGUGUAUAUGAUGAAUUCGUGGUGUAAGAUAGUUCCUAAAGGCCUGUGCUGCUGCAUCAUAUUUUAACCUUUAGCUUUAUGACAGAACAAACACAUUAACUAUAGUCUUAUUCCCAGUGCGUUUGCAGUUGUCAGAGUCUCUCAUAGCAUCCUGGAAUCUUCAAUCAUCCCUCUGGAGAACACGUGUCCUAUUCAGGCACAGUCAUGUGCUCCGGCUUCUUCUGAGCGAGGAUGCUGGGCUGCUGGGAGUCAUCUGUCUUCUUUAAUAUUAACAUUUACAUUUUUUAACUUAUUUUUAUGGUUGCCACCGAGGCAUAUGGCUCUUCCCGGGCUAGGGAUCCAAAACGUGCCUCCACAGCGACUGGCGCCCCUGCAAGCGGAUUCUUCAUCGACGGCACCAUAGCAGCAACUCCAACACUAACGUUUUUCAUAAGGUCCCUCCCACUGCUGCACCUACUAAAAUAGCACGUUGAGGUUUGAAUAUAUUCAAACCUGUAUUUAGUCUGAAUGUAUGAGGGCCCCCCCCCCCCAGGGCACAAUAAGGUACAGUCAACUCUCUCCCCUUUCAGACUAUGCAUCCAGUCCUAUGAAGCAUGGAGCUGGAGGGUCAGAUGUAGCCAGUCUGAAUUUAUAAACAUCCCUAAGGGAUGUAAGCAAAAUGACUUACAACUAUAGUCUAUUUGCAGGAAUCAUCACAAACUGAUAUAAGAAUGCUUUCCAGGAGUUCCCCUGGAGGCUCAGUGGGUUAAGAACCCUACUAGUAUCCAUGAGGAUGCAGGUUUGCUCUUGGUCAGUGGGUUAAGGAUCCUGCAUUGCUGAAAGCUGGCAGUAGGUCCCAGAUGUGGCUCAGGACUGGCAUGGCUGUGGCUGUGGUGUAGGUUGCAGGCGUGGCUUGGAUUGGGUGUUGCUGUGGCUGUGGUGUAGGCCAGCAGCUGCAGCUUCAAUUCAACCCUUAGCAUGGCAACUUCCAUAAGCCGCAAAUGCAGACCUAUAAAACAAGGAAGGAAAGAAGAAGAAAAGACAGAAAGAAAAGAAGAAAGAAAGGAAGAAAGAGAAAGAGACAUUGCCAAAUGAUAAAAGGAAAAACUAAAGUUUUGGAAGGACAGACUAACAUGGCAGAGAUAGACGUAAUACCACCACAUAUUGUGUGGGAGUUGCCGAGCGUUAUCAAAGGGAGCUGGUCUUAAUCCACGGAUAGAACUAGAUUUCGCCAAAAAAGGUGAAGGGAGUUCCUGUCGUGGCUCAGCAUUAAUGACCCCGACUAGUAUCCAAGAGGAUGUGAGUUCCAUCCCGGGCCUUGUUCAAUGGUUAAGGAUCCGGCGUUGCCAUGAGCUGUGGUGUAGGUUGCAGACACAGCUGGCAUCUUGCAUUGCUGUGGCUGUGGUGUAGGCCAGCAGCUGCAGCUCUGAUUAGACCCCUAGCCUGGGAACCUCCAUAGGCCACGGGUGUAGCCCUCAAAAGACAAAAGGCAAAAGGCAAAAAAAAAAAAAAAAAAAAAAAAAAAAAAGAACUGGAAGUUCAAAAGGCUUAAAAAAAAUGCCAAAGCAAAUAAUGUCUCCGAAGUGAAUGUCCCUUGCUUAGCUUGCAAUAAAACAGUAAUGUGCACAUUCUAAAUUUAAUCUCUGCUUUAAGAACAAGAGAAGCAAUAAUGCCGAGGAAUUCUCUUUGGCCCAGGAGUGAGUGAAGGGUUGUUAAUUCCACCUCUGCGAGUCAUCACUGAUUCCAUCUGGGGCGACACUUUCUUGGAACAUUUGCUGUCUGAUUGCUCUCUUGUGGUCCAUACAUCAGGGAAUCCGGGUCUUCCUACUUGGGUAGUAAACCCUCAUCUAAAAUGCCCCAAGUGCUUAUAUGCCCUUCUAUUCCCAAAGGUCAGGUUCAAAUGGACUAUGGAUCCCCAAGGUUGCUUUCUUCAGGGUAUGGCUUUCAAGUGAUAAACAUGUGGCCUCUUACCUCCUUGGCUCAUUACUGACCUGCUUCUUAGCUUCCCUUAAGCAACAGAGAUUGAUAAGAGGCCAGGCAAGAAAUUCAGGCACGUGAGUUUCCACUGUGGCUCAGUAGAAAGGAACCCAACUAGUAUCCAUGAGGACUCGAGUUCUACCCCUGGCUUUGCACAGUGGGUUAUGGAUCAGGCAUUGCCCUGAGCUGUGGUGCAGGUGGCAGACACAGCUCAGAUCCUGCAUUGCUGUGGCUUUGGAUGGCAGCAGCUGCAGCUGUAAUUCAAGCCCUAGCUUGGGAACCUCCAUUUUGCUGCAGGUGUGGCCCUAAAAAGAAAAAAAAAUUCAAGCAAGGCUUUACUGGAGCCCCUCUUACUGGCUCACCCAGGAGGGGCCCCAUAUAAGCUGGUUGCUUAAAUGGGGUGAGGGUCCAGGGGUUAGACCAGAGGGGUAGCAUAGGUGGUCUGCCCAGCCCUUUGGGGGUGGUGUUGUGCGCAGGGGGCAUUGUCUGCUUUUGCUCCCAACACCCUGAUUUUGCUCUCAUUGGCUCUUCAGAAGUGGUGAUUGGGUUUUUAAGGUAUUUUGUAUCUUCUUGCCCAUGAUUUGCCCCAACUGGGCAUGCACGCAGUUAUUUUUAGUCCCUUAAAAUUUCUUUGUAUUUUGUUGCUCGAGGAGAUGUCUGUCCAGCUGCAAGCACAGCAGCCACUGCAGCAAAGGGUCCAGGGUCCCAGGUCUCAGCCUGGCUCAGCCUUCCUCCUCCACGGUCCAUGCUUCGGCUCUGUAGGGCCGAAGAGCACCAUUCACCUGCACAGCACCUGCCCUGCUGGGGAGCAGGAGAAUGGAGGGGCUGGGAAAUAAAUCUGUUUUUUGUUCAUGCAGCUCUAUCAAUCUAAGCACACAGGAGUAUUUUCUUGUGUUCUUCUUCCAGGGAAAUGCAUUCUCCCGAUUAUAUUUCUUUUCCUUAAGGCCAGUCUCACCCUGUGAAGGAUAUUGCUUUGUGGUCCCCUGUGUUAGAGGCGUCAAAUCUCUGCUCCCCAAUAAAAUUUGGUAAAGACGCCACGACUGUUGAUGCCACACAAGCACAGAGAGGAUAGAUGAAGAUUUAUUGCUCACAAUCAGGGUGCUUUCUGGGGAGAGCAGGACGGGGUCUCAGGCAGGACUGAAAAAGCUUGGGAAAGCAGGAAGGAGCAGGUGGUCAUGGAAUGUACAGACGUUGUGGGGUUGGCGGACAGCUAAACCUGUGUGGUGCAAACUUCCUGCCAGGUCCAGGGAGGCUGGGCUUGGACUUCUUGUUGCUUCACGAAGAUUUGGGGCAGGAGAGGAAGUGGGAGGAGUGGGGCUUGAUGGCCGUCAACCAAGAUCCAAACCUGAGUCAAGACUCUUAUUAUGGAGGUUCAGGGUGAUUGAGUCAAGGCUCUUUAUUACAAAGGCUUAGGGUGAUUUUUUUUCUCACAAAACCCCAGUUGUUGAUGGAUGUUAAAAGGCAUCUAGUCUACACCGGAUCUGUAUUUUCUCCUGGAAGGUUAAUUUCGUUACCAUCAUUUUGUGGGCGAAUGGUCCAGCCAUGGGCACA